UACGGCGAGUGAAGCGGCAACAGCUCAAAUUUGAAAUCUGGCCCUUACGGGUCCGAGUUGUAAUUUGUAGAGGAUGCUUUUGGCAAGGCGCCGCCCGAGUUCCCUGGAACGGGACGCCACAGAGGGUGAGAGCCCCGUCUGGCUGGCCGCCGAGCCUCUGUAAAGCCCCUUCGACGAGUCGAGUAGUUUGGGAAUGCUGCUCAAAAUGGGAGGUAUAUGUCUUCUAAAGCUAAAUAUUGGCCAGAGACCGAUAGCGCACAAGUAGAGUGAUCGAAAGAUGAAAAGCACCUUGAAAAGAGGGUUAAAUAGUACGUGAAAUUGUUGAAAGGGAAGCGCUUGUGACCAGACUUGGGCGCGGCGGAUCAUCCGGGGUUCUCCCCGGUGCACUUCGCCGCGUCCAGGCCAGCAUCAGUUCGUCGCGGGGGAAAAAGGCUUCGGGAACGUGGCUCCCUCGGGAGUGUUAUAGCCCGUUGCGUAAUACCCUGCGGUGGACUGAGGACCGCGCAUCUGCAAGGAUGCUGGCGUAAUGGUCACCAGCGACCCGUCUUGA
rnacentral:rRNA from 1 species